UUGCGUUAAGGAUGGAAGUGGCAUCCUUUUUUUGCUGCCACAAAUGGCAAAAAAAGAUAUAACGAACAGCCUGACCCUUG
rnacentral:sRNA from 1 species